rnacentral:rRNA from 1 species
AUUGAACGCUGGCGGCAUGCCUUACACAUGCAAGUCGAGCGGCAGCGCGGGGGCAACCCUCGCGGCGAGCGGCGAACGGGUGAGUAAUGCAUCGGAACGUGUCCUUUUGUUGGGGGAGUAACCAGUCGAAAGACUGGCUAAUACCGCAUGAGCUCGAGAGAGGAAAGCAGGGGACCGCAAGGCCUUGCGCGAGAGGAGCGGCCGAUGCCCGAUUAGCUAG